rnacentral:rRNA from 1 species
GACGAACGAUGGCGGCGUGCCUAAUACAUGCAAGUUGAGCGAUGAAGGGUGGUAAUUGUACCAACUGGGUGAGGAGCGAACGGGUGAGUAACGCGUGGGGCAUCUGUCUUUGAGUGGGGGACAACAUUUGGAAACGAAUGCUAAUACCGCAUAAAAACUUCAAACACAAGCUUUAAGGUUGAAAGAUGCAACUGCAUUGCGCAAAGAGCAUCCCGCGUUGUAUUAGCUAGUGGGUGAGGUACAGGCUCACCAAGGCGAUGAUACAUAGCCGACCUGAGAGGGUCAUCGGCCACAUGUAGACUGCAACACGGCCCACACUCCUCCGAGAGGCAGCAGUAGGGCAUCUUCGGCAAUGGACGAAAGUCUGACCGAGCAACGCCGCGUGAGUGAAGAAUGUUUCCGGCUCGUUGCACUCUGUUGGUAGAGAAGAACGUGAGUGAGCGUGGAAAGCUCAUCAUGUGACGGUAACUACCCAGAAAGGGACGGCUAACUACGUG